AGCGGACUUUAAAGCUUGCUUUUAAAGUUAGCGGCGGACGGGUGAGUAACACGUGGGCAACCUGCCUGUAAGACUGGGAUAACUUCGGGAAACCGGAGCUAAUACCGGAUAAUCCUUUUCCUCUCAUGAGGAAAAGCUGAAAGACGGUUUACGCUGUCACUUACAGAUGGGCCCGCGGCGCAUUAGCUAGUUGGUGAGGUAACGGCUCACCAAGGCGACGAUGCGUAGCCGACCUGAGAGGGUGAUCGGCCACACUGGGACUGAGACACGGCCCAGACUCCUACGGGAGGCAGCAGUAGGGAAUCUUCCGCAAUGGACGAAAGUCUGACGGAGCAACGCCGCGUGAGUGAUGAAGGUUUUCGGAUCGUAAAACUCUGUUGUUAGGGAAGAACAAGUACAAGAGUAACUGCUUGUACCUUGACGGUACCUAACCAGAAAGCCACGGCUAACUACGUGCCAGCAGCCGCGGUAAUACGUAGGUGGCAAGCGUUGUCCGGAAUUAUUGGGCGUAAAGCGCGCGCAGGCGGUCCUUUAAGUCUGAUGUGAAAGCCCACGGCUCAACCGUGGAGGGUCAUUGGAAACUGGGGGACUUGAGUGCAGAAGAGAAGAGUGGAAUUCCACGUGUAGCGGUGAAAUGCGUAGAGAUGUGGAGGAACACCAGUGGCGAAGG
rnacentral:rRNA from 1 species